rnacentral:rRNA from 1 species
AUUGAACGCUGGCGGCAGGCCUAACACAUGCAAGUCGAGCGAGCGGCGGACGGGUGAGUAAUGUCUGGGAAACCGCCUGAUGGAGGGGGAUAAAUACUGGAAACGGUAGCUAAUACCGUAUACCAUCAGAUGUGCCCAGAUGGGAUUAGCUAGUGGGUGGGGUAACGGCCCACCUAGGCGACGAUCCCUAGCUGGUCUGCUAGGAUGACCAGCCACACUGGAACUGAGACACGGACCGGACUCCUACGGGAGGCGGCGGUGGGGAGUAUUGCACAAUGGACGCAGUGCUGAUGCAGCCAUGCCGCGUGUGUGAAGAAGGCAUUCGGGUUGUGAAGCACUUUCAGCGGGGAGGCGUUACCCGCAGAAGAAGCACCGGCUAACUCCGUGCCAGCAGCCGCGGUAAUAC